UAAGCUUGACGAACAAGACGAACUGGCACAGACAUAAGUGGGGAAGAUGGGUGACACCUGGAGGGGGGUGGAGACAAGCACAAGGACAGGUGAAACAGAUCAGGGUGUAACACCUGGAGGGGGUGGAGACAAGCACAAGGACAGGUGAAACAGAUCAGGGUGUAACACCUGGAGGGGGUGGAGACAAGCACAAGGACAGGUGAAACAGAUCAGGGUGUAACACCUGGAGGGGGGUGGAGACAAGCACAAGGACAGGUGAAACAGAUCAGGGUGUAACACCUGGAGGGGGUGGAGACAAGCACAAGGACAGGUGAAACAGAUCAGGGUGUAACACCUGGAGGGGGUGGAGACAAGCACAAGGACAGGUGAAACAGAUCAGGGUGUAACACCUGGAGGGGGUGGAGACAAGCACAAGGACAGGUGAAACAGAUCAGGGUGUAACACCUGGAGGGGGUGGAGACAAGCACAAGGACAGGUGAAACAGAUCAGGGUGUAACACCUGGAGGGGGUGGAGACAAGCACAAGGACAGGUGAAACAGAUCAGGGUGUAACACCUGGAGGGGGUGGAGACAAGCACAAGGACAGGUGAAACAGAUCAGGGUGUAACACCUGGAGGGGGUGGAGACAAGCACAAGGACAGGUGAAACAGAUCAGGGUGUAACACCUGGAGGGGGGUGGAGACAAGCACAAGGACAGGUGAAACAGAUCAGGGUGUAACACCUGGAGGGGGUGGAGACAAGCACAAGGACAGGUGAAACAGAUCAGGGUGUAACA